rnacentral:rRNA from 1 species
GACGAACGCUGGCGGCAUGCUUAACACAUGCAAGUCGAACGGAAAGGCCCUGCUUUUGUGGGGUGCUCGAGUGGCGAACGGGUGAGUAACACGUGAGUAACCUGCCCCUGACUUUGGGAUAACUUCAGGAAACUGGGGCUAAUACCGGAUAGGAGCUACUGCUGCAUGGUGGGGGCUGGAAAGUUUCGGCGGUUGGGGUUGGACUAGCGCCUUAUCAGCUUGUUGGUGUGGUAGUGGAUUACCAAGGCCUUGACGGGUAGCCGGCCUGAGAGGAUGACCGGCCACGUUGGAACUGAAAUACGGCCCGGACUCCUACGGGAGGCAGCGGUGGGGAAUAUUGCACAGUAGGCGGAGGCCUAGUGCAGCAACGCCACGUGCGGGGUGACAGCCUUCGGGUAGUAAACCACUUUCGCCUUUGACGAGACGUGAGUGACGGUAAUGGGUAAAGAAGCACCGGCUAACUACGUG